GCCCUCGUGGAUCAUGGAUGGUGAUCACUCCUUUAAAUAUCGGCCCUUCGACGUUUCUGCAAAGGAGAGUUGGAGGUUCGAAUCCUCCCGAGGGCA